UGGAGCUCAAAAGUUAAUUUCUUACUGUUAUAACUCAAAUCUGUGAUUUUGUCAAUGCAAUAAACUAUUUUUUUUAUAGCAGUGUUUAUUAUGUUACUUCUUUGUAGUAUUGUUUUAUUGCUAUAUCCUUAUAUUGUAUUCUAAUGAAUAAUUCCUCUUUAUUCUGUACUUUCAGAAACAUUAUUUGUCAAUAUCAUAACUGGAGCUGGACAUCUUUGGAGCUGAAGAAUGAGGACAGCUUUUGUAUGCUAACGUACACUCCUUAACAGUUGUACUGGAUGAAAACACAGCAAGAAAACACAUAUGCCAAUAUGCAUAGUAUCAUGGCUGCAACAACACUGAAUGGCGCAGAGUGGGAGGUUACGUGGUUGACUGCCGGCACGCGCUACUUGUAUCAAUAAAUCACUAUCAGAAAA